UCACCAGUGCCAGGUGGUUGGGAGGGCUCUUCCUACGGAAGCAGAUCAACACCCCAAAAUCUACCGGAUGAAGCUCUGGGCCACCAACGAGGUUCGCGCCAAGUCCAAGUUCUGGUAUUUUUUGAGGAAAUUGAAAAAGGUGAAGAAGAGCAACGACCAAGUGCUUGCUAUCAAAGAGGCAAUAUGUUAUUGCUCACGAAAUGACUAUGUUAUAUGAAGAGGUGACAGACUUGACAAGAUUAAAUCAUGAGAAGCAAUUUGUGAAUACUUAUGAGGAGUGCACUCUAAUGGCCCAUUUGUUAACAGGUUGAUGAAUACUUGAGCAAUGGUUUAUUUAUUUUAUUUGCUCUUCAUAAGUCUCUACAUUGUAAGUUGAUGUAAGCUAAUAUUGUUAGGUCCUUUUGCUUUGACAUUCAAUGUGUUGCUUAGU